rnacentral:tRNA from 1 species
GUGAGGGUACGCCCAGUGGUAGAGCGCGUGCUUAGCAUGCAUGAGGUUCUGGGUUCAAUCCCCAGUCCUUCCA